UGUGUGUGCCAUGAGCCCCCAGGGCUUACACCUCCAUCAGGCGGUCUGUCACCCUGCCAAUUAUUUUCCCAGAUUUGUUUCAGCAACCCCAGCUGCCUUUCUGCCAGCCUCAUUUUCUGGAUCUGCAAUGGUGAGGUAUGCGCAUCUGAGUCACAGGGCACUCGACUCGGUGGGUCCAUUAGUCCCUGCAGGCUCUCUUCGUGUACCAGGCAACUACCUUGCAAGGCAUGGUCCAGGCUGGGAGAAAACCCUUUGCCAGUGAAUUUGCAAAUUUCACCAUUCAAAGACUAUAAACCAGAAACAGCAGGUAUCUUCUUGGAGUGAGACACAGCACCUGGAAGACUAAAUACUGAACAGAAACUGAGUAUCCUUUAGCACCUGGUUGGCC